GUCUCCAUAGCUCAGUGGUAGAGCAUGCGAUUGCAGCACACUGCUUGUAUCGCAGGGUCAGGUGUUCGAACCACCUUGGGGACU